UCCAGACUCCUACGGGAGGCAGCAGUGGGGAAUAUUGGACAAUGGGGGGAACCCUGAUCCAGCGACGCCGCGUGAGUGAAGAAGUAUUUCGGUAUGUAAAGCUCUAUCAGCAGGGAAGAAAGAAAUGACGGUACCUGACUAAGAAGCCCCGGCUAACUACGUGCCAGCAGCUGCGGUAAUACGUAGGGGGCAAGCGUUAUCCGGAUUUACUGGGUGUGAAGGGAGCGUAGACGGCUGUGCAAGCCAGAUGUGAAAGCCCGGGGCUCAACCCCGGGACUGCAUUUGGAACUGUGUGGCUGGAGUGUCGGAGAGGCAGGCGGAAUUCCUAGUGUAGCGGUGAAAUGCGUAGAUAUUAGGAGGAACACCAGUGGCGAAGGCGGCCUGCUGGACGAUGACUGACGUUGAGGCUCGAAAGCGUGGGGAGCAAACAGGAUUAGAUACCCCAGUAG
rnacentral:rRNA from 1 species